CUUAGUGAAUAUUCCCCUAGACAUACAGAGCUAUACAUAUAUGCAUUAACCUAUAAAUGUAUUGCAUACUGAGACAUUGAUUUAAUAACAUAUAUUAUCCUAUAUCAGUCUGAGGGGGAGGAUUGUUAACUAGCUGUUAGUACAAAGCUAUUGACUUUUUCUGUCUUUCUUUGAUUCCUCACUAGAGCUUCACGGUUUUCUCUCUUAAUCCUGUAUUAGCCUGUGAGAUAAAUCUGUCUGUUGGACAGAUAGGGAGAGGUUGAUAAUGGGUUUGGCCGUUUGCUUUUGUACCAGAUUCAAUUUAGACUUAGGAGUUCUUGAGAUCUGGAUGAGAGAGAGCUAGCUCUGCAGUCGAG